rnacentral:rRNA from 1 species
GUGGCGGACGGGUGAGUAACGCGUGGGUAACCUGCCUUGUACAGGGGGAUAACAGUUGGAAACGGCUGCUAAUACCGCAUAAGCGCACGGCAUCGCAUGAUGCAGUGUGAAAAACUCCGGUGGUAUAAGAUGGACCCGCGUUGGAUUAGCUAGUUGGUGAGGUAACGGCCCACCAAGGCGACGAUCCAUAGCCGACCUGAGAGGGUGACCGGCCACAUUGGGACUGAGACACGGCCCAAACUCCUACGGGAGGCAGCAGUGGGGAAUAUUGCACAAUGGGCGAAAGCCUGAUGCAGCGACGCCGCGUGAGCGAAGAAGUAUUUCGGUAUGUAAAGCUCUAUCAGCAGGGAAGAUAAUGACGGUACCUGACUAAGAAGCACCGGCUAAAUACGUGCCAGCAGCCGCGGUAAUACGUAUGGUGCAAGCGUUAUCCGGAUUUACUGGGUGUAAAGGGAGCGCAGGCGGUGCGGCAAGUCUGAUGUGAAAGCCCGGGGCUCAACCCCGGUACUGCAUUGGAAACUGUCGUACUAGAGUGUCGGAGGGGUAAGCGGAAUUCCUAGUGUAGCGGUGAAAUGCGUAGAUAUUAGGAGGAACACCAGUGGCGAAGGCGGCUU